rnacentral:rRNA from 1 species
AGAUUGAACGCUGGCGGCAGGCCUAACACAUGCAAGUCGAGCGGCAGCACGGGUACUUGUACCUGGUGGCGAGCGGCGGACGGGUGAGUAAUGCCUAGGAAUCUGCCUGGUAGUGGGGGAUAACGCUCGGAAACGGACGCUAAUACCGCAUACGUCCUACGGGAGAAAGCAGGGGACCUUCGGGCCUUGCGCUAUCAGAUGAGCCUAGGUCGGAUUAGCUAGUUGGUGAGGUAAUGGCUCACCAAGGCGACGAUCCGUAACUGGUCUGAGAGGAUGAUCAGUCACACUGGAACUGAGACACGGUCCAGACUCCGUACGGGAGGCAGCAGUGGGAAUAUUGGACAAGUGGGCGAAAGCCGUGAUCCAGCCAUGUCGCGUGUGUGAAGAAGGUCUUCGGAUUGUAAAGCUACUUUAAGUGGAGGAAGGCAGUUACCUAAUACGUAUCUUGUUUGACGUUACGAUAGAAUAAGCACGCUAACUCUGUG